CUGGUCCGCUGAGAGAGGAGCUUAUGGGUGGAGGAAGGCCAGUUGAGGGAGAAAACGCCGUUGAGUGGGGUAAACGCCUCUGCCGUGCUUCUUGGUCACUGGUGGGGGAGCCGCAUCGCCGUCACCCCUGGGCUGCUGUUCCUGCUGCCGUUGUUUUCUCGUUCUGUUAUUAUUGUCUAAUGGAGAUCGGAGAGGAGAGGAGGCGUUUAACCUUGUCAUUGUUGCUGCCAUGGAAAUAGGUGCUGGAAACUGCUAAUGGAGCAGCUGCGUUUAGUGAAUUUUCGACGGUUUCGGCUAGUCGAGUGACACAGGUUCGAAGACUCCGUUCGAAGCUGCGGGCGAUUGUUAAACCUU